rnacentral:rRNA from 1 species
GAGUUUGAUCAUGGCUCAGGACGAACGCUGGCGGCGUGCUUAACACAUGCAAGUCGAGCGGUGACCCUCCUUCGGGAGGUGAUCAGCGGCGAACGGGUGAGUAACACGUGGGCAACCUGCCCCUAACACUGGGAUAACCUCGGGAAACCGGGGCUAAUACCGGAUACGACCUCGAGCGGCAUCUCUUGAGGUGGAAAGCUCCGACGGUUAGGGAUGGGCCCGCGGCCUAUCAGCUUGUUGGUGGGGUAAUGGCCUACCAAGGCGACGACGGGUAGCCGGCCUGGGAGGGCGACCGGCCACACUGGGAUUGAGACACGGCUUAGACUCCUACGGGAGGCAGCAGUGGGGAAUAUUGCGCAAUGGGCGAAAGCCUGACGCAGCGACGCCGCGUGAGGGAUGAAGGCCUCGGUUGUAACCGUACUUUCAGCAGGACGAAGCGAAAGUAGACGGUACCUGCAGAAGAAGACAUGGCUAACUAACGUGCCAGCCGCCG